CUGACUCAAUCUUCUGUAGACGAAGAAGUGAGCGAGAGAUCCACUUCAUCCUUCCAACAGGUCAGCCAGACCACUGGAGGUGUCUCCUUCCAACAGACAGCUACUGCAAAGCAAUUAAGAGCAUGCCGUCGUCUGCAAAAUCUAAAGCGACAUCAUGCUCGAUGUGAGGAACGUUACGAUGAGGCCAAGAAAAAGAUAUUUGAGAGAGAGAGGCAGAUGACUUUGACUCUGUUCACAAGAAUGAAUAAUUCUAUGUCUACUGAUGAAUCUUCAGAUUGUACAGAUUAUGAAGAUAUUGACUAUGUUCCAGACUCAAGUGGCAAUUCCUCAGACGAAAGUCUUUGUAGUAACGAACUGGAAAUCACAGACUCUCAUGCUCCCAAAAAACUGUUACAGGACAUGCUAGUGGGGAUAGCUACAGCACACAGUGGGGAGAUCACUGGUUCAGAUAAACCUACAAGUUUUAGUUCGCCACUGAGGAGCAGCAGUCAUAGCACUUCAGUGAUGAGUUGCAGUGCCAA